UGAGCAAUCUGCCCUUCACAUCGGAAUAACCAUUGGAAACGAUGGCUAAUACCGAAUAUGACUUCGGAUCGCAUGAUCUGAAGUGGAAAGCUCCGACGGUCAAGGAUGGGCUCGCGGCCUAUCAGCUUGUUGGUGAGGUAAUAGCUCACCAAGGCGAUGACGGGUAGCCGGCCUGAGAGGGUGACCGGCCACACUGGGACUGAGACACGGCCCAGACUCCG
rnacentral:rRNA from 1 species